rnacentral:rRNA from 1 species
GUCGAGGAUCUUCGGCAAUGGGCGCAAGCCUGACCGAGCGACGCCGCGUGCGCGAUGAAGGCCUUCGGGUUGUAAAGCGCUGUCGAGGGGGAGGAAGCUUCGCAAGGAGUUGACUAAUCCCUGGAGGAAGCACGGGCUAAGUUCGUGCCAGCAGCCGCGGUAAGACGAACCGUGCGAACGUUGUUCGGAUUCACUGGGCUUAAAGGGCGCGUAGGCGGGUCUUCAAGUCCGGGGUGAAAUCCUCUCGCUCAACGAGAGAACUGCCCCGGAUACUGGAGGUCUCGAGGGAGGUAGGGGCAUGUGGAACUUCCGGUGGAGCGGUGAAAUGCGUAGAUAUCGGAAGGAACGCCGGUGGCGAAAGCGACGUGCUGGACCUCUUCUGACGCUGAGGCGCGAAAGCCAGGGGAGCAAACGGGAUUAGAUACCCCGGUAGUCC